rnacentral:rRNA from 1 species
UACAGAGGUCUCAACCGUUGUUCGGAUUCAUUGGGCGUAAAGGGUGCGUAGGCGGUCGCGCAAGUCGGAUGUGAAAUCUCAGGGCUCAACCCUGAAACUGCAUUCGAUACUGCGUGGCUAGGGUGCUGGAGAGGAGACUGGAAUUUACGGUGUAGCAGUGAAAUGCGUAGAUAUCGUAAGGAAGACCAGUGGCGAAGGCGAGUCUCUGGACAGCAACUGACGCUGAGGCGCGAAAGCCAGGGGAGCGAACGGG